GGGGGCCGCGACAAGCGGUGGAGCAUGUGGUUUAAUUCGACGCAACGCGAAGAACCUUACCUGGGCUUGACAUCUGCGGAAUUUCUAUGAAAGUAGGAAGUGCCUUCGGGGAGCCGCAAGACAGGUGCUGCAUGGCUGUCGUCAGCUCGUGUCGUGAGAUGUUGGGUUAAGUCCCGCAACGAGCGCAACCCUUAUCUUUAGUUACCAUCAUUCAGUUGGGGACUCUAAAGAUACUGCCCCGGUCAACGGGGAGGAAGGUGGGAUGACGUCAAGUCCUCAUGGCCCUUAUGUCCAGGGCUACACACGUGCUACAAUGGGCAGUACAAAGGGUAGCAAGCCUGCGAAGGUGAGCCAAUCUCAAAAAGCUGUUCGUAGUUCGGAUUGGAGUCUGCAACUCGACUCCAUGAAGCUGGAAUCGCUAGUAAUCGCGGAUCAGCAUGCCCGCGGUCCGAAUACGUUCCGGGCCUU
rnacentral:rRNA from 1 species